rnacentral:misc_RNA from 1 species
GGGUGAUUGAACACAAACUUACUCAGUGCAUACUAGAGCUCUAUUAAGGUAAGGAAAAUGCAAAUUUUGCCCAAGCUAGCAUGAUAAAAUCCAUUAUGUUAUAUAAUUCUUGAAGAAAGAAAAUGGAAAAGCUAUUACGACCACAUAUUUCAUUACCCAGGAAGAAUGAAACCAACCAAGAACGAAAUUGGUGUCGUUAUGAGGUUUAGCCCUUGUCCUGAGGUUCCCUCCUCCGAGUUCCUAUGAGUUCUAUCCCUGUUGUUUCCUUGGGAGCACCCUGUUUUAUUUCUUUCUGUGUAUGUUUGUUCUUCUCUCAAUCAUCUUCACCAUCAUCUUAAUUUCUUCUAAACUACAAUCAGGUUUUUCUUUUCUUUUUGACCAACCAUCACAUUGCCACUACCCUGUUCCUUUUACUCCCCUUCCAUCGUUUAUGGGCUUUAAUAUGUUGGAAUUAAUAACAAAGGCUCAAAACGUCAACUACCAAGAACUCACACUCCAAAUCACCUCAACUACACCUCACUUGACCACAGCAAAAGCCUCCAUUCUGGUAGGUAAGUUCUUCACUGCCAAAAAUUUCUCUUUCAAUGCCAUUAAACCUGCCUUUGGAAAACCCUGGAUUCUCAAUAGAACGUUCCAGAUUACUCUAACAGACUAAAACACCUUGCAGUUUGCUUUUGAGCUUGAAGUUGAUGCUAGUUUUUUUUCUAGAAAAUAGACCUCGGAAUGUUCAUAACCAAAACCUAUGUAUCCAUGAGUGCCCUCCAGACCUUGCAAUUGAAGAAUUUACCUUUACCGACUUUCCUUUUUGGGUUUAAGUCCAUGACCUACCACUUAAUCAAAUUAACCCACCAAAAGCCCAAAUCAUGCAAUCUGUUGUGCAACCACAUUUUUUCCCAUCCAUAUCCACACCCCUUCUCAAUAGUUCAAUUACAUCCACACCACAAAUACCCUUUUUCUAGUGACCUGCAAAGCACAAUUUUGACAAGGCUAGGUGAUUCCAGCACUUCCACCGAGUCCAUCAAGCCAUUACCCAAAUAUCCAACAUCCCUAAAGGACAUAAACUCAGAUACAUCCUUCCAAUCAGCUUAACCACAAUUUUUCACUCCAAGCAAAUUGGCGGGGACAAACCAACCAUCUCAAAACCCUUACCUUUUUAAGAAAUUCUCGAAAUAAGCACCAUUCUCGAAAAAAUCUAUUUGCACAGUUAUCGAGAUCUUUCCCGCAAACCUAAUCUCCACCUAUUUCCAGCAACAUCUUGCCUCAUAUGUCAAUGUAAAAGCUUGUCUCAUAAUUUUCUCUUUCUAAUCACCUACUUUCAGACCUAAGCUC